GACGAACGCUGGCGGCGUGCCUAAUACAUGCAAGUCGAACGAGAGCGACCGGUGCUUGCAUUGGUCAAUCUAGUGGCGAACGGGUGAGUAACACGUGGGUAACCUCCCAUCAGAGGGGGAUAACAUUCGGAAACGGAUGCUAAAACCGCAUAGGUUCUACAGUCGCAUGACUGAAGAAGGAAAAGAGGCUUCGGCUUCUGCUGAUGGAUGGACCCGCGGUGCAUUAGCUAGUUGGUGAGGUAACGGCUCACCAAGGCCGUGAUGCAUAGCCGACCUGAGAGGGUGAUCGGCCACAUUGGGACUGAGACACGGCCCAAACUCCUACGGGAGGCAGCAGUAGGGAAUCUUCCGCAAUGGACGCAAGUCUGACGGAGCAACGCCGCGUGAGUGAAGAAGGAUUUCGGUUCGUAAAACUCUGUUGUUAGAGAAGAACAGCGCAUAGAGUAACUG
rnacentral:rRNA from 1 species